UCGUUAGCUCAGUUGGUAGAGCAGUUGGCUUUUAACCAAUUGGUCGUAGGUUCGAAUCCCACACGACCCACCA
rnacentral:tRNA from 12 species